GCCCCCAUCGUCUAGAGGCCUAGGACACCUCUCUUUCAAGGAGGCGACGGGGAUUCGAAUUCCCCUGGGGGUA
rnacentral:tRNA from 4 species